rnacentral:rRNA from 1 species
UUCCAGACUCCUACGGGAGGCAGCAGUGAGGAAUAUUGGUCAAUGGGCGGGAGCCUGAACCAGCCAAGCCGCGUGAGGGAAGAAGGUACAGCGUAUCGUAAACCUCUUUUGUCAGGGAACAAAGGCGGGGACUAGUCCCCGGAUGAGGGUACCUAAAGAAAAAGCAUCGGCUAACUCCGUGCCAGCAGCCGCGGUAAUACGGAGGAUGCGAGCGUUAUCCGGAUUUAUUGGGUUUAAAGGGUGCGUAGGCGGAAGGUUAAGUCAGCGGUCAAAUGUCGGUGCUCAACACCGGCCUGCCGUUGAAACUGGUCUUCUUGAGUGAGCGAGAAGUAUGCGGAAUGCGUGGUGUAGCGGUGAAAUGCAUAGAUAUCACGCAGAACUCCGAUUGCGAAGGCAGCAUACCGGCGCCCAACUGACGCUGAAGCACGAAAGCGUGGGUAUCGAACAGGAUUAGAUACCCCCGUACG